rnacentral:misc_RNA from 1 species
CCCAAGCCUUCUGGCGAUCUCUUACAAAUAAGGCCUCAUACAGAUUUUAAAGAAAAGGAGGCUUUGAGGAAGAAGUUUUCCGCUUGAUAAGAUAAGUCCGGGGAAGGUUUUCCGGUUUAUCCCGGAGGGCUUGUAGCUCAGUUGGUUAGAGCGCGCGCUUGAUAAGCGUGAGGUCGGAGGUUCAAGUCCUCCCAGGCCCACCAGUUUAUGUAUCAAUUUAUAAGCGCUUGUAAAACUUUUCUCUAUGGGGCUUGCUUAUAACCCCAUAAGGAAUUUACUUAUAGAAAUAUGGCGUUUUUCUAUUUUUCUUAAGUGAUCCAAAGUUAAGGCGGUUUAAACGUAAAGUGAUCCCACUUUGAAAGAGGAUACCAAAUUUAAAAGUUUCGAUCCUUUAUCUUGUUUUAGGGGCC